rnacentral:rRNA from 1 species
AUUGAACGCUGGCGGCAUGCCAUACACAUGCAAGUCGAACGGUAGCAGGUCUUCGGAUGCUGACGAGUGGCGAACGGGUGAGUAAUACAUCGGAACGUGCCCGAUCGUGGGGGAUAACGAAGCGAAAGCUUUGCUAAUACCGCAUAAGAUCUACGGAUGAAAGCAGGGGACCGCAAGGCCUUGCGCGAACGGAGCGGCCGAUGGCAGAUUAGGUAGUUGGUGGGAUAAAAGCUUACCAAGCCGACGAUCUGUAGCUGGUCUGAGAGGACGACCAGCCACACUGGGACUGAGACACGGCCCAGACUCCUACGGGAGGCAGCAGUGGGAAAUUUUGGACAAUGGGCGAAAGCCUGAUCCAGCCAUGCCGCGUGCAGGAUGAAGGCCUUCGGGUUGUAAACUGCUUUUGUACGGAACGAAAAGACUCUUUCUAAUAAAGAGGGUCCAUGACGGUACCGUAAGAAUAAGCACCGGCUAACUACGUGCCAGCCGCCGCCGUAACAC